rnacentral:tRNA from 1 species
GGGGAAUUAGCUCAGCUGGGAGAGCGCUUCGCUGGCAGCGAAGAGGUCGUCGGUUCGAUCCCGAUAUUCUCCA